AUUGAACGCUGGCGGCAGGCCUAACACAUGCAAGUCGAGCGAGCGGCGGACGGGUGAGUAAUGUCUGGGAAACUGCCUGAUGGAGGGGGAUAACUACCUGAAACGGUGGCUAAUACCUCCUACCAUCUGAUAUGCCCAGCUGGGAUUAGCUAGUAGGUGGGGUAAUGGCUCACCUAGGCGACGAUCCCUAGCUGGUCUGAGAGGAUGACCAGCCACACUGGAACUGAGACACGGGCCAGACUCCUACGGGAGGCAGCAGUGGGGAAUAUUGCACAAUGGGCGCAAGCCUGAUGCAGCCAUGCCGCGUGUGUGAAGAAGGCCUUAGGGUUGUAAAGCACUUUCAGCGGGGAGGCGUUACCCGCAGAAGAAGCACCGGCUAACUCCGUGCCAGCAGCCGCGGUAAUUC
rnacentral:rRNA from 1 species